CAGAUGGGAGCUUGCUCCCUGAUGUUAGCGGCGGACGGGUGAGUAACACGUGGGUAACCUGCCUGUAAGACUGGGAUAACUCCGGGAAACCGGGGCUAAUACCGGAUGCUUGAUUGAACCGCAUGGUUCAAUUAUAAAAGGUGGCUUUUAGCUACCACUUACAGAUGGACCCCCGGCGCAUUAGCUAGUUGGUGAGGUAACGGCUCACCAAGGCAACGAUGCGUAGCCGACCUGAGAGGGUGAUCGGCCACACUGGGACUGAAACACGGCCCAAACUCCUACGGGAGGCAGCAGUAGGGAAUCUUCCCCAAUGGACGAAAGUCUGACGGAGCAACCCCGCGUGAGUGAUGAAGGUUUUCGGAUCGUAAAACUCUGUUGUUAGGGAAGAACAAGUACCGUUCGAAUAGGGCGGUACCUUGACGGUACCUAACCAGAAAGCCACGGCUAACUACUUGCCAGCAGCCGCGGUAAUACGUAGGUGGCAAGCGUUGUCCGGAAUUAUUGGGCGUAAAGCGCCCGCAGGCGGUUUCUUAAGUCUGAUGUGAAAGCCCCCGGCUCAACCGGGGAGGGUCAUUGGAAACUGGGGAACUUGAGUGCAAAAAAGGAAGUGGAAUUCCACGUGUAGCGGUGAAAUGCGUAGAAUGUGGAGGAACCCAGUGGCGAAGGCAACUCUCUGGUCUGUAACUGACGCUGAGGCGCAAAAGCGUGGGGAGCGAACAGGAUUAGAUACCCUGGUAGUCCACGCCGUAAACGAUGAGUGCUAAGUGUUAGAGGGUUUCCGCCCUUUAGUGCUGCAGCAAACGCAUUAAGCACUCCGCCUGGGGAGUACGGUCGCAAGACUGAAACUCAAAGGAAUUGACGGGGGCCCCACAACCGGGGAACAUGUGGUUAAUUCGAA
rnacentral:rRNA from 1 species